UACAGAGGUCUCAAGCGUUUGUUCGGAUUCAUUGGGCGUAAAGGGUGCGUAGGCGGCGCGGUAAGUCGGGUGUGAAAUCUCGGAGCUUAACUCCGAAACUGCAUUCGAUACUGCCGUGCUUGAGGACUGGAGAGGAGACUGGAAUUUACGGUGUAGCGGUGAAAAUGCGUAGAUAUCGUAAGGAAGACCAGUGGCGAAGGCGGGUCUCUGGACAGUUCCUGACGCUGAGGCACGAAGGCCCAGGGGGAGCAAAACGGGG
rnacentral:rRNA from 1 species